AUGAAAACUCUUCAUCAAGUUUUGGCAAAUGUAAAAGAAGUGAAAGUACAAAAGAUGAACAAGGAAAGUAAAGGUAAGACAAAGAAUUGAACUCUUUUGCAAAAUCUAGUGCUUCAAAUGCAAAAGUAUCAGCAAUUAUAGCAACUAAUGGUGUUUUUGAAGUUAAGGAUUCUAAGGCUUGAUGAAUUGAUGGUAGAGAGUGUGUAACUGUGAGUUGAAUUAGAACUCCUGGGUGUACUCCUUGAGGUAAGUCUUGUUUGUUGAUUGGUGGAAGAAAAAUUGAGUUUAUGUUUGGUGGAAUUGUUUCAAGGUAUGAUUUUGAUGAAUCUGGUGGU
rnacentral:lncRNA from 1 species